GCCAACGACCAUACCACGUUGAAUACACCAGUUCCCGUCCGAUCACUGAAGUCAAACAACGUCGGGCGUAGUCGGUACACCCGGACGGGUGACCGCUUGGUCGAACACUACGUGCCGUUGGCG